GGGGACAUAGCUCAGCUGGGAGAGCAACAGACUGAAGUAGAGAAAUAUACGCGUAUCCUAUGUGUUCUGGAGGUCCCCAGUUCAAUCCUGGGUGUCCCCA